rnacentral:lncRNA from 1 species
CCCGUCGGCCCUCGCGGUGCGCGUGCGCCUCGGAACAGGUAAUCCCCGCGCUACACGUCCUUCGCCGGCUCUCGCGGUGCGCGUGCGCGUCCCGAACAGGUGGUGCGUGCGCCCACGCCCUUCCCGCACAAUCACUCGCUGUCCCCUCCACGCUCAGCACCGGUUACGGGGGCUUGCGGGGCCUGCGCUCCAUCUGCUGUAGGCCCGGCGCAGGUUGCCUCGUCUGCACUUAGCGUCUUGGGUUUAAGGGGAGAAGGGCGGGACAGGACAGGGUGUGACUUCCGCCUUGGCACCUGGGAUUUGUAAUUUAUUUCUGGAUCUUUCUCCUUGGGGAUUGGGGGGUUAAAAGAUCGUGGGAAGGGGCUCAGGCAACUGAAAAUAAGAAAGAAAGACCCUCAUACCUUUGGGGCUCAUUUCCCAAAAGAAGCUCAGAAUGUCUGUUUUCGUUAGUACUAAUUAGACGAAAACUACUGUACUGAAAAUGAUAAAGCUUCAGUGAGCAGACAAGAUUACGAAAAUGAAGAAAGGUAAACAGUAGCUACACAGCUGAUUAGCAGCCCAGAUGUAACUAGUCCAGCAGUCCUAAAUGUGCCGCACACCCCGCUGCACCUCCCUCCCUCCCUCCCCGAGCCCAGGGCCGCUUCCUCCGGAGAACGUUCAAGCUCAGCACUGGAUCUGUAACCCUGGUGUUGCUUGCCUCCUUUGCUGUGGACUUAAUGUUGACGUUAAAGAUUUCCCAAAGCUAAUAAUUGAAUGCGAAUUAAUAAGUUGCUCAGAAAAUGGCUACUCAUCAGGUGAAGUUGCUUCAAAAACUACAGAAAAUGUUGAGUAA